UCUCUUUUGGACCAGAGAGAAGGCGAUGGUGUGGUAUAAUUCUAGAGAGGAUUUACUGUCUGGGUCAAAGAGGAUGUGUCCUAAAAGGAGAAUGAGAAAUAAAACCCAGAAGGAGAAAGAAAACGUGGAGAAUAUUGCUGAUUGCAGCCAAGGGAAGAGAAUGUUUCCAGAAGGAGGUUACCACUGCGAGGUCAAGUAAGGGACUGGAGAAUGCUUCUGUAUCUUGGCAGGUGGGGCCAUUGGAGGGAGUAGUU
rnacentral:lncRNA from 1 species